rnacentral:lncRNA from 1 species
UAUGAUUCUCUCUUUCUAUGAUAGCUGAUUGUUUUUCUUAACAAAAAAAUAUUUUAAAAAAUAUAAAGUUAACAAUUACAAAAUUAUAUUAUCACUCUUAAAAUCUAUUUUGAUCUUCAUUGCAAACAAAAUCAAAAUCAAUUUAUUAUAUAAACUUUUUCUCUGUUUCUACUCUCUUUCUUUCAAUUUUUUGAGCUUUUAUAAUAUAUAAUAAUAUAAUAAAAAAUUAUUCUUAAAUCUUUGAUUCAAGGAUUUUUUUCAUAUUGUCCUGUUAUAUUUACAAAUUUUGCCAGUUUUCUUCAUAAAGUUUCAAUACCAAAAGUUUCGACAAGCCGACUUAAAGUGGUCCCUUUGUUAUUUCUAAUUUUUUUUAUUGUGUAAUCUGUUUUCUUUUAUAUAAUUUACAAUCUUUAUAUGAUUGACAAUGAGAAAUAGGCAUUAUUUGUGUUUUAUGAUUUAAGUAGGAUCUAUAAAGUGAGAAUUAAUAUGAUCACAAACUUUUUCAAGACUCGAACUUUUUCAAACACUGCUCCUAAUUCUCGAGUGUAAUUGUGAUGAUAAUGUUUAUAUUCAUAUAAUAUUAAGUGAUUCUUUGCUUUUUCAAGGCUCGAUGCUCGUUCAUUUAUUUGGCGGUUUGUAGACAUCUAAAACUUGUGUGCUCUUCAAUAAGAAUUCAAAUUUUGUUAGAGUUUUAGAAGACUACUUUACCCUAAAUCUCACCUAUUUAAAGGGUAACACGUUCCGUGAAACAGGCAUCAGGCAUCUUAAACAUCCCAUAAGCUGAUGGAUAUUUGUAAAAAAUCCGGAUCUCCAAUAUUCCACAAAAAAUUAUGGGAUAUUCAUAAAAAAAUCAUCAUAUAUUCAAAAAUAAACCACUAGCGGUCCUCGAAUUACGGAGAAAAUCAAGAGAGGAACAGAUUUGUUACCACAUCGUUUAUCAUUAAAAAAAAAUUGUUUCUUCAUAUUUUUGUUUGUGGUUAAAAUUUAUUUUCCAUGAAUUUAAAUUAUGUUGCAAACAAAUUGGCACGCCCAAUGGGACCAAAUCUGUCCUUCAUCUCCUCUCAUAAAUCAGAUCUGCAAAUCCGUAGCCACCGCAUAAAGAUGGAAGCUCUAUUGGUACUUCAAGACUCGUCAUCAAAUCUACACUUCGACAAGCCUUGAAGUUGGGGACAUUUGUAGAUAUGUUUGUGGACUCUUCAAUAAGAAUCCAAAUUCUGUUAGGAUUCUAGAAGGCUACUUUACCAUAAAUCUCAUCUAUUUAAAGGGUAACAUGUUCCCUGAAACAGGCAUCUUAACUGGUGCUUGCUGUUGCACCAGGAGCCGUUGCACCAGGUGCUAAAGCAUGGGUGUUUUGUAUCCAUUGAGCAAAAACGGGUUGUAAUUGUAUAGCGGUAUCUGAAAACAUAUCUUGAGGACGCCCUAAAGCGCUCAUGGUAUCAUUAUGAGAUACGUGUACUUGAUGCCCCGCCCAAGAGAGAGACCCAAGUCCUAGUAGCCCUGCCAAAUGGUGAUUCAGCAUAGAUUCUACAUCUUGAAACCAAGCCAAUUAAUAUCCUAUAAGCUGAUGGGUAUUCGUAAAAAAAUCGGAAUCUUCAAUAUUCCAUAAAAAAUCAUGAGAUAUUCAUAAAAAGAUCAUCCUAUAUUCGAGAAUAAGCCACUAACGGCUCUCGAAUUACGGAGAAAAUCAAGAGAGAAGAAUCAAGGGAAGAACAAAUUUGUAACCACAAUCGUUUAUCAAAAAAAAAAUUCUUGUUUCUUCAUAUUUUUAUUUGUGGUUAAAAUUUAUUUUUCAUGAAUUUAAAUUAUAUUGCAAACACGAUUAUUAUAUAUGAGCUUGAAAUCGUUAUACUAUCCUAAAAUUCUAAAUCCUCAAACUUCAAAUUUUAGCUCAUCUCUGCUUAAACUAGCUAAGAUUUGAUAGUAUUACUUAUUCAUAGUAUAAUUACUCUAUCCUACUUAUUCUUUGCUUUGCCAACAUCCGAUUUAAAAAUAUUUUUCUUUGUUCCUUUUCAGCUACAUUGGCCAACUGCUCCGAAAAAGAUGGACCCAAAUUUGAAUCAGGCAUACUCCAGAUGCUACUUCUUGGCCAUAUGGUUGGAAAAGCUGUCACUUUUUAACGGUCACAUAAAGAAACGGCUACUUUUUUCUCAACCACUUGAUGGGCGAUUCGAUACGGUGGGAAGUAGUACUCCCUCUGUUUGAAAAUUGAUCAACUGUUUUGAUUUUAUAUAAAAUUUAAUAAAAUAAAAAAUAUUUUAAAUUUUCUAAUGUCAUUUAAUUUUGUAAUUUUAAUUAUGUUAUGUAAAAAGUUAAAAUUAAAAUGUUGGUAAAAAAAAUAAUUAUUUUCUUCGAAACAAACUAAAAGGUAAAACAGAUCAAUUUUUUAAAAAUGGGGGAUAGAAGUUAUGUUAGUUACUCCGUGUCCAAAAAUACCUUUUCAAUUUUCCACUGUACAACACUUGUCUAG